GACGUAGGGGGCGAGCGUUGUCCGGAUUUAUUGGGCGUAAAGCGCGCGUAGGCGGCCCGGCAAGUCGGAUGUGAAAUCCCGGGGCUCAACCCCGGGCCUGCAUCCGAUACUCCCGGGCUGGAGGCAGGUAGGGGAGAUCGGAAUUCCUGGUGUAGCGGUGAAAUGCGCAGAUAUCAGGAGGAACACCGGUGGCGAAGGCGGAUCUCUGGGCCUGUCCUGACGCUGAGGCGCGAAAGCUAGGGGAGCGAACAGG
rnacentral:rRNA from 1 species